rnacentral:lncRNA from 1 species
AUGUUCAUUACCCGAUUCAUUACAUGUUCAUUAGUUGUUCUUAACGGCAGARAUAUUUUGCUGUCGCAGGGAUUUUGCGCAGUUAAGGCUGGGCUAGGCAAUGAAAGCAGGCAAAGAGCCGCAUUACCCUUAGCUACGGCUUCAAAUCCUGCUGGCGCGGCUCCUCGGGAAAGCGGGCAGCGCGAUGCCCUGGGACCGUCCCCGAGGGCCGGGAAGGACGGGGCACAUCCCAAUCUGUUCCCUAAAUGGAGGUGGCCAAAAGUUGGGAUUCUACCCCAAAGCGGUGCCGAGUUGCUCUCUCCGCCACCUCAUCGGCACGGCUGUUCAGCAGCCGGCUCGCAAGCGGAAACACUGAAAUUGGGGCUUUUUCCUAAUAAAGCUCUGGAAUCUGUUGCCCAGAGCGGAGGGAGCCRGGUUUCUUGUGGGCCAGGGCGAAGGCGGCUGGGGCUGAUGUUUAAUCUGGUGGUURCUUUUUCCUCCCCCUUUAACACCGCAUUUUUUUGUGCUUCCAAAGCCCAAGCGAAUCCAUUAGGAAGCGGCGCUGGGAGCCUGCCUCCGUGGCGGCCGGCCGCGGAGAGCCCUUUGAACUCCCUUUUCCUCCUCCGCGCAGCCGAGACGUUUGCUUUCAAACUCUGCCCCGCGUCGCAUUACGGCUCGGCUCUGCUCCAGAUGUUGCGAUUUUUGAUCUCCCACCUUCCUCCCUGUUCGGCCACUGCGUGUUUGGCUGAACUGGAGCCAAAUGCAAGCUGCCCCCCCCCCCCCCGGCGCGAGGCAUCGGCGGCGGGCCGGCCAGCGUCCCACGGGCUCCUAAACGCGGCCAUCUGCGCCUGGGGGCUUGCUUUUUUUUCAAGACCAACAAGCAAAACAACCCCCUACCCCCAAAUGGUUUUGGGGUUGUAUUUAUUCUCUGCAAAAAAAAAAAAGAGGAAACUUGUAGCAGUUUUGCUUGCUCGGGGCGGACGGGAGGGAGCACGCGGCCGCAGCUCGGCGCAGCCCGGGGCUCGCUGCUGGCCACGGCGGCUCUCCGCACCCGCGGGCAGCGUUGCAAGCGUUUGGGAGGCGAUUCCCRGCUCUGCCCCCCGGGAAGGCAGGCUUUCCCGGGCUCCAGCCCUCCUGCCUGGCUCGCGGAGGCCGCCGGCCUGCGGGAGCUCCCCGGCUCCCCAGGAUUGUCCAGCAGCUUUCGGCAGCGAUCCCCCACGGCACCGGCCCACGUUUUCGCCCAGGAGGGCACGAAUAACGAAAUAA